AAGUUGACUUUGGGGGGCUGGAU
rnacentral:piRNA from 1 species